rnacentral:rRNA from 1 species
GGGGGGGGCCUUUCGGGAGGCAGCAGUGGGGAAUUUUGGACAAUGGGCGCAAGCCUGAUCCAGCAAUGCCGCGUGAGUGAAGAAGGCCUUCGGGUUGUAAAGCUCUUUUGUCAGGGAAGAAACGGCUGAGGAUAAUACCUUCGGCUAAUGACGGUACCUGAAGAAUAAGCACCGGCUAACUACGUGCCAGCAGCCGCGGUAAUACGUAGGGUGCAAGCGUUAAUCGGAAUUACUGGGCGUAAAGCGUGCGCAGGCGGUUUUGUAAGUCUGACGUGAAAGCCCCGGGCUCAACCUGGGAAUUGCGUUGGAGACUGCAAGGCUUGAAUCUGGCAGAGGGGGGUAGAAUUCCACGUGUAGCAGUGAAAUGCGUAGAGAUGUGGAGGAACACCGAUGGCGAAGGCAGCCCCCUGGGUCAAGAUUGACGCUCAUGCACGAAAGCGUGGGGAGCAAACAGGAUUAGAUACCCUGGUAGUCCACGCCCUAAACGAUGUCUACUAGUUGUCGGGUUUUAAUUAACUUGGUAACGCAGCUAACGCGUGAAGUAGACCGCCUGGAGUCU